rnacentral:rRNA from 1 species
CCUACGGGUGGCAGCAGUGAGGAAUAUUGGUCAAUGGGCGGAAGCCUGAACCAGCCAAGUAGCGUGCGGGAUGAAGGCCCUACGGGUCGUAAACCGCUUUUGCACGGGGAUAACACCCUCCACUUGUGGCGGUCUUCAGGUACCGUGCGAAUAAAGGCCGGCGAAUUCCCUUCCAGCAGCCGGUGUAAUACGGAAGGCGCGAGCGUUUACCGGAUUCAUUGGGGUUAAAGGGAGCGUAGGGGGGCGUUCAAGUCAGCUGUAAAAUCGCGCGGCUCAACCGCGCCCCGCAGUUGAAACGGGAGGUCUUGAGUUCACGACAGGCAGGCGGAAUGCGUGGUGUAGCGGUGAAAUGCAUAGAUAUCACGAGGAACCCCGAUUGCGAAGGCAGCCUGCCGGGGUGCGACUGACGCUGAGGCUCGAAGGUGCGGGUAUCAAACAGGAUUAGAUACCCUUGUAGUC